GGUGAGAAAACUGUUAUCCAAAUAAGAAAGCUGUUUGCCUAGAUGAGAAAAUUGGUUGCUUGGUUAAACUGGUUUAUACAAAUAUUCUAAAGCAAACAGUGAAGCAAGAGUAACAGCCGUGGUGGCAGCAUCUGGAUCCUUGAUUGACAGCAUUAUGGAAAGUUACUGGCCAGAUACUCCUUACUUAAGUUGGCACCAAUCAACUUGCCUGGGGAUCAGUCAAAUGGGGUGAGGUGAGGGGGACUUCAGGAGAUCCUUCCCAGAUGGAUGCCAAAUUCCUUUGAUAGCCCUGUCAUUGUCAAGAAUUUCUUCAAGUUUAUGUGUAUAAGAAUAAAAUCUUGUUCAAGUUUAUGAU
rnacentral:lncRNA from 1 species